AGUGAAGCCCGAUGGUGCAGGGGACACGGGAGCUGAGUCUGGGGACUGCAGAUGGAGUCAGCACAGAGGAAAGGCAGUGAGGAACCCCUCCCCCCCAAGCACCCUCCAUGAGCUCCUAUUGUGAAGACCGGCUCUGCAGUCUGUGAAGCAUUUGGAGGCGGAGCCAAGCUGCAGGAAGUGGGUCCCAAGGGGCGGGACUUGGAAGGUUACAUCCUGUCCCAAUUCCAGUCAUGUUCUCUGUUUCCUGAUUUUCUGCCAAGCCAAUAUUACCAGCUGCCGAUUUCGGUGGCCCCAGACUGAAACAGUCUGCCCUGCUUUCCCUGUGGCCAUGGGUUGAAAUCUAUCUGAAACCAUGAGCUAAGGAGAAUCUUUCCUGCGAGAAGCUGUUUUAUUUUCAGCGGUAAGCACUGGCAAGCGAGUUCAGAUGUCUAACGUUUAGGUACAAAGCUGGCUCAGCAGCGUGGACCUGGAACUCCAGAGCCAGGGACGUGGAGACUGGAGGAUUCCUGGGGCUUGCUGGCUAGCCAGUCUAGUCAGAUAUGUCCAACGCUAGCUAGACCUUUUCUCAAAAAAGUACACGCAACUACACAUUCCUGUGUACACAACACAUGAGCACACACAAAUAUAUUGC
rnacentral:lncRNA from 1 species